rnacentral:lncRNA from 1 species
CUGUGUCCAGCACUGCCCUCUGCACUUCACAUCUGCUGAGUUGGUCUCCUUCUCCAGCAUCCAUGCAGCCAGAAUACCUGGUUCUCCAACCUCAAUACUGCUUCUCCUUAGCCUUCUCUGCUGGAUGCACUUCUGUUUCUCCAAAAUGUAAACGUGUCUAGGAUGGGGUCGCAGUCUGUCUUGCUCACCUGUGUGUACAAGUGUGCAUCUGGAUGUAGGAGGGGCUGGGUGAAGAUGCUGUGAUCAGCUGACCAGCUGCAGGACCGACUUAUUGACUCACAUCAUCUUCACCGCAACUUCACGAGGAUCCAGGGUUCUGCAACAUCCUUAAGGAUUACGGAAGUUUCACAGUACCUGGAUGGAGCAAAAAACGUCAAAGUGAAGAGUCUGGGCCCUCUCUGGAUCUGUUAAAAUGGCCCAGUUCCUAAUGAGACACAAGGGUCCUGGCCAUGGGAGGAGCCCCUAGGCAGGCCAUCACAGGAUCUGAGGGAGCUGAGGCCCGAGGCACACUUACCCAGAGCUGGAGCAGAUGACGGUCAGUGGGGAAGUGUGUGUGUUUGUUGGGGGGAACUGGAAUGGUCCCACCAAAGAUGUGUCUCCCAGCCUGCUCCAUGGCAUCGCACUGCCUGCUGCCCCCGACCAUCAGACUCCUCUGAGCCUCUGCUUUGUCAACUGAUCUCAACCAACUGGGCUCUGGAUUCUUAUACAUAGAAGACUGCUCAGCAGGCGCCGGAGAGCCGCCAAGUCCGUGACAACCUGUAGGCCCAUCACAGCUGACGACAUCCAGACAGGCUCUCCCUGGCAGACUCAUCUCUCGCCUUUCCACGGCAACUUCUAUUUUGACCACGCACUCACAUGGAUCCUUCUCUUAUUCCCUCCUACAGUUUCCAGCCAGACUGGCCCAUGCCGGGAGGCGGCUCUGCGAAAGUAAAGAAAACAAAAGACAUCCAAUAGCCAGUGUGGCUUUAACCUGAAGAACAGCUGCAUGUUCAUUGACUGCUUAGUGUGUGCUAAAUGUUUCACACGCACUUGCUCGAUUCAUCUUGACAAGAGCCCUGUGACGUGGGUGCAUUAGUCCUUUUUUCUGGGGGGGGGGGAGGAGGAAGCUGAAGCACAGAGAGGCUAAGUAACUUGCCCCAGGUCACACAGCCAGCGAAUAGCAAGCCAGGAUUGGCACACAGGUCUCUAAUUUUAAGCACUGCACACUUAAUCCCUAAACUAUAUGCUCUUUAAUUAGGGGAGGGGUUAGGAUUAGUCCAGAGCCAGGCUGCUGCAAGGGAGAGGCCUCCCACUCCCCCCACUUAGGGGCUAUUGUGAGGUGGAGCUCCAGCUGUCUCUAGGGAACAAACACGGCUGAGAAGGAGAAAGGGGAGGAGUGUCUUUGUCGGAAGACACUAAAGCACUAAAGAGAGGAAGCAGUGGGAAGAAUAGCAGUCGGGAGAGCUCACCAAGCGCCAGGCACAGCACUGGGCCCCUUGCAUCCUGUACCCUGGCACUCCUCAAACCUCAUAACUCG